rnacentral:piRNA from 1 species
UAUUGCUUCAUUGUUAUUUCCAUGAAAAGA